GUACCGGUGGUCAACGGAUAGCACGCAAGCCUCCGAAGCUUGAAAUGCAGGUUCGAUUCCUGCCGAGGGCG
rnacentral:tRNA from 1 species